UGGGGAAUUUUGGACAAUGGGCGCAAGCCUGAUCCAGCCAUGCCGCGUGCAGGAUGAAGGCCUUCGGGUUGUAAACUGCUUUUGUACGGAACGAAAAGGUGCCUUCUAAUAAAGGGCGCUCAUGACGGUACCGUAAGAAUAAGCACCGGCUAACUACGUGCCAGCAGCCGCGGUAAUACGUAGUGUGCGAGCGUUAAUCGGAAUUACUGGGCGUAAAGAGUGCGCAGGCGGUUUUGUAAGACAGAGGUGAAAUCCCCGGGCUCAACCUGGGAACUGCCUUUGUGACUGCAAGGCUGGAGUGCGGCAGAGGGGGAUGGAAUUCCGCGUGUAGCAGUGAAAUGCGUAGAUAUGCGGAGGAACACCGAUGGCGAAGGCAAUCCCCUGGGCCUGCACUGACGCUCAUGCACGAAAGCGUGGGGAGCAAACA
rnacentral:rRNA from 1 species